UUAAAUUGAAGAGUUUGAUCAUGGCUCAGAUUGAACGCUGGCGGCAGGCCUAACACAUGCAAGUCGAACGGUAACAGGAAGAAGCUUGCUUCUUUGCUGACGAGUGGCGGACGGGUGAGUAAUGUCUGGGAAACUCCCUGAUGGAG
rnacentral:rRNA from 1 species